rnacentral:rRNA from 1 species
GACGAACGCUGGCGACGUGCUUAACACAUGCAAGUCGAACGGUGAAGCGCCUUCCUUUUUGGUGGGUGUGGAUGAGCGGCGAACGGGUGAGUAACACGUGAGUAACCUGCCCCCUUCUUCUGGAUAACCGCAUGAAAGUGUGGCUAAUACGGGAUAUUCUGGGUCUGUCGCAUGAUGGGUCUGGGAAAGAUAUUGUUUCGGUGGGGGAUGGGCUCGCGGCCUAUCAGCUUGUUGGUGGGGUGAUGGCCUACCAAGGCGGUGACGGGUAGCCGGCCUGAGAGGGUGGACGGUCACACUGGGACUGAGACACGGCCCAGACUCCUACGGGAGGCAGCAGUGGGGAAUAUUGCACAAUGGGCGCAAGCCUGAUGCAGCGACGCCGCGUGAGGGAUGGAGGCCUUCGGGUUGUGAACCUCUUUCGCCAGUGAAGCAGGCCUGCCUCGUUUGUGGGUGGGUUGACGGUAGCUGGAUAAGAAGCGCCGGCUAACUACGUG